rnacentral:rRNA from 1 species
UACGUAGGGUGCGAGCGUUGUCCGGAAUCAUUGGGCGUAAAGAGCUCGUAGGCGGCUUGUCGCGUCGGCUGUGAAAACCCGCGGCUCAACUGUGGGCGGGCAGCUGAUACGGGCAGGCUGGAGUUCGGUAGGGGAGACUGGAAUUCCUGGUGUAGCGGUGAAAUGCGCAGAUAUCAGGAGGAACACCGGUGGCGAAGGCGGGUCUCUGGGCCGAUACUGACGCUGAGGAGCGAAAGCGUGGGGAGCGAACAGG